CAUCAAUGGCGGGUCUGCGUUGAAUUCUUUGGCGGUAGUUAGAAUGACUAUGUCUCCAUCAUAUUUAUGGCUAACUAGGUUAAAGGUUACACGGGUGUUAAGAUGGACAGAAAUAUUGUAAGUCUAACCAGACGAGUUAAGGCGGCAUUGAAUAGUGAAUUUUACAUGGUAAACAAUGCCUGGUUACAAGACUGUGUUGAAUAUUAUGUCAAAGAGCAUGGUGACAAUGUGCCCCAGAAAAAGAUUCAGGAGUUCGUUGUGUCGCAGUGGCUGUUAAGUGACCUUCGUGAAAUCAAUAACGAUAACGGAUGUCUUCCUAAGAAUCUUAGUCAGCAGAAGCAUACCGUGUUAUCUAAUAAAUAUAUUUUACAGGUAGAUAAGAUGUACGACAUAUCGACGUCCAAGUAUUCUCAACUGCAGAAAAUUCGAAAUGUGUCGGUUGAAAAUAUAGAAGUAACGGCUGAAGAUAAAACACAAAACUGGCAACCUCAGAAAAAGAGAAUGCUGCAGUUAUUCCUUACAGAUGGCAUACAAGAUAUAACAGCAAUCGAAUAUAAGCAGAUUAGAUUUUUAAAGGAUAUGUUGUUGCCUGGGUAUAAAUUGAUGAUAAUCGGUCCAGUCACUUGUAGACGUGGGGUUCUGAUGUUGACGGAGGAAAACAUAAUGGACAUUGGCGGAGAAGUGGAACACUUGUUAAUACCAAAUGCACUGGAAAAUGUUUUAGCUCGUGCUUUAAAUUUGCAGGAGAAUCCUGAUCCUUACCAUACCAAGGAACAACAGGAUAGCGACGGUGACAUGUUUGAGGAUGACUUUGAUAUUGACUUAGAUGAAGUUACACGAAUCGAAGGCAGUACUUCAACAUCCACUACAUCACGGGAAACUACGUCCACAAAUACUAACCAAAGAAAUAGAAAUAACUCAACAGCAAAUUUGCGAGAACAAAAUGUUCCGACGAAGCCCUCGGGAAACAAGAAUAUUUUGGAUUCCCGGUCCUAUAAUUCUGUGCCUCGAAUUGAAGGAAAUAACGUCAAAUUUCCUGAUGAUGAUUUGAUCGAAAUGGUAGAUCAGAAUCAAAUUGGCAUGACUACAAGCACUUCAUCUACGUCAGUUGGGAGUACAUACAAGACAUCGUGUCCACAAGUAUCAAACUUUGUCUUAAAAAAUGUUGCGAAUGAAUUUCCCGAUGACGAUGAUGACUUCAUUGAAAUGAUAGAUGAAAACCAAGUCAAGACGUCUGUCUACGAGUUGAAUAAACCAAGUACAAGUAAACAUAAUACACUGACCUCGGCAACGGACUCCCCGCCUACCGAGUUUACAAAAUCUCGCAAAAUUAAUGAAGAUAUUGAUGAUGAGGACGAAUUAAUAAGGAUGAUAGACGAAAAUCAAAUCAGUUCAACUACAAAUCCGGGAAAUACAUCCACACGGAGUAAAGGGUGCACUUCCUCAAGUAACUCCAAAGCUGCGUUGAAGCCUCCUUCGAAAGUUACCGCAGUUCCAUGCGAUGACAUUGAAAUCGUUCAAGAGAAUCUUCCACCAUUAAAUACUGCCCACUAUAAACAAACUACUUUACAACUAGAAAGUAAGAAAAUACCAGAAAAAUCAUCUGGUGUUGAAUUUCCAGACGAUGACUUUGAUUUUGACAACAUUGUAUUAACGGCUCCACCAAAAUAUAACAGUCCAGCCAAAGAGGGCAGAAAAAAAAAAGAUGGUACAGUUCGAAAGGAAGAAGAGGCCUCUUUCUCCACUGGGGCGAAAAGACAGCUUCAGUUGCCUAACACAUCGAAAAGAAAAUUGGAAGAUACUUUUGUAGCUCAAAAGUCACCACGAUUAGAUAAGAACAAUGUGCACCAUAGUGGAACAUUGUCAUCCGUUGCAGGGAAUAAGAGGCCAGCGAUGUCUCCGCCAAUGUUACAACCGCACAAAGAACGAUGUGUUAAAGAAACACCAAAACUUAGUAAAAUUACUUCGAAAAUCACUGAUUUUACGGUCAAGUCGAGUCCAGGUGAAGCAGUACCAGCAAAGAUUUGUGAUUUCAUAUGUGAAAUAUUGUCAAAACCACCUAGUGACUCUGUCGAUUUAAUAAAGAUUAGGGGAAAAGUGACAACGUUAGGAAAGCUUACAAAGAAGGACUCAAAAUGGUACUUGGAAGGAACGAUAACCGAUGGUACAGCAAGUAUGGAUGUCAUUUUUGCAGAUGAGGUCAUCGGAGAAAUUCUUGGAUUCAGCGUACCAGAAUUUGCAUCAAAGAAGAAGUUGAUGAAAAAACAGCCGGAUAUAGAAGAGCAGAUGAGAAAGAGCUUCAGGGCUGCCGAAAGCAAGAUCAGGAAAAUGGACACUUUGCUAGAAGUCGCAAUUGUACGAGAUGCUAAACCGAAGAUCGUUAAAAUACUGGAUAUGACCGAAGAACAGAAACAAGCGGUCGAUAAAAGAAUAAAAAUGUUAUCCAUGUAACGACCCACGAUGCAAUUGCGCCUCUAAAUGUAAAUACUUCAUCCCUGUACCUGAAAAAAGGCGCAUUUAAUAUUUACUGUUUAAUUUCACUGUUAUGCGAAUGACUGCUCUGUUAGAAAAAAAAAAAAAAAAAAAUCGAAACGGACUAAAUUUUAAUGAGGAGAAUUUUUAAACGAGGGUCUUACGCGCGUUCUUGUACAUACAACGUGCUUGCGCUUUUCCUUACAGUUUUCGAUGCACCGUUUUGUAAAGAUAAAAAAAAAACACCGGAAAGUCGCGUCGAAACGUCCUUGACAGGAGUAACGAAAAUCUAAAUAGUGGAAUUAUUUAAGGUACAUUGCGAGAGGACCAUGCUUUACAUAAAAGAGUUGCCUAACCAAAGCACGAAGUCUCACGUCGAAAAGUUGUUCUCCGAAAUAGAAAACACUAUGAGGAAGAAUUUCUCUUCCGAGAGAGACAAUUCCUCCCCAUCAAGCGGAAACGAUUGCAAGGACAAAGUCUACACGAUGCUGUUGGUUCUCGACAUUUUCUUAAGACUCCACCGAAUGUUAAUUAACAUAAUAGGACUCCUCAAGUAAUCCCGAAU
rnacentral:misc_RNA from 1 species